GAUGAAGAACGUAGCGAAAUGCGAUACUUGGUGUGAAUUGCAGAAUCCCGUGAACCAUCGAGUCUUUGAACGCAAGUUGCGCCCGAAGCCACUAGGCCGAGGGCACGCCUGCCUGGGCGUCACACGUCGUUGCCCCCCCCCAUCUACUCCUUCGGGAUUGCGGGGGGCGGAUGAUGGCCUCCCGUGCGCCUAGCCGCGCGGUUGGCAUAAAUACCAAGUCCUCGGCGACGCACGCCACGACAAUCGGUGGUUGCGAAACCUCGGUUGCCCGUCGUGUGCGUUCGUCGCGCAUCGAGGGCUCGAAAAAAUGCUCGGCUCCGGCUCGGCUUUCAACGCGACCCCAAGUCAGGCGGGGUUACCCGCUGAAUUUAAGCAUAUCAAUAAGCGGAGGA
rnacentral:misc_RNA from 1 species